rnacentral:rRNA from 1 species
GUGGGGAAUCUUGCGCAAUGGGCGAAAGCCUGACGCAGCCAUGCCGCGUGAAUGAUGAAGGUCUUAGGAUUGUAAAAUUCUUUCACCGGGGACGAUAAUGACGGUACCCGGAGAAGAAGCUCCGGCUAACUUCGUGCCAGCAGCCGCGGUAAUACGAAGGGGGCUAGCGUUGCUCGGAAUUACUGGGCGUAAAGGGCGCGUAGGCGGACAGCUUAGUCAGAGGUGAAAGCCCAGGGCUCAACCUUGGAAUUGCCUUUGAUACUGGCUGUCUUGAGUUUGGGAGAGGUGAGUGGAACUCCGAGUGUAGAGGUGAAAUUCGUAGAUAUUCGGAGGAACACCAGUGGCGAAGGCGGCUCACUGGUCCGGUACUGACGCUGAGGUGCGAAAGCGUGGGGAGCAAACAGGAUUAGAAACCCUGGUAGUCC